GAAGGGGCGACUACCUGCAGUCGAACGGUAACAGGAAGCUUGCUUCUUUGCUGACGAGUGGCGGACGGGAGAGUAAUGUCUGGGAAACUGCCUGAUGGAGGGGGAUAACUACUGGAAACGGUAGCUAAUACCGCAUAACGUCGCAAGACCAAAGAGGGGGACCUUCGGGCCUCUUGCCAUCGGAUGUGCCCAGAUGGGAUUAGCUUGUACGUGGGACGGCUCACCUAGGCGACGAUCCCUAGCUGGUCUGAGAGGAUGACCAGCCACACUGGAACUGAGACACGGUCCAGACUACGGGAGGCAGCAGUGGGGAAUAUUGCACAAUGGGCGCAAGCCUGAUGCAGCCAUGGCGCGUGUAUGAAGAAGGCCUUCGGGUUGUAAAGUACUUUCAGCGGGGAGGAAGGGAGUAAAGUUAAUACCUUUGCUCAUUGACGUUACCCGCAGAAGAAGCACCGGCUAACUCCGUGCCAGCAGCCGCGGUAAUACGGACGGUGCAAGCGUUAAUCGAAAUUACUGGGCGUAAAGCGCACGCAGGCGGUUUGUUAAGUCAGAUGUGAAAUCCCCGGGCUCAACCUGGGAACUGCAUCUGAUACUGGCAAGCUUGAGUCUCGUAGAGGGGGGUAGAAUUCGAGGUGUAGCGGUGAAAUGCGUAGAGAUCUGGAGGAAUACCGGUGGCGAAGGCGGCCCCCUGGACGAAGACUGACGCUCAGGUGCGAAAGCGUGGGGAGCAAACAGGAUUAGAUACCCUGGUAGUCCACGCCGUAAACGAAGUCGACUUGGAGGUUGUGCCCUUGAGGCGUGGCUUCCGGAGCUAACGCGUUAAGUCGACCGCCUGGGGAGUACGGCCGCAAGGUUAAAACUCAAAUGAAUUGACGGGGGCCCGCACAAGCGGUGGAGCAUGUGGUUUAAAUCGAUGCAACGCGAAGAACCUUACCUGGUCUUGACCACAGAACUUUUCAGAGAUGGAUUGGUGCCUUCGGGAACUGUGAGACAGGUGCUGCAUGGCUGUCGUCAGCUCGUGUUGUGAAAUGUUGGGUUAAGUCCCGCAAGGAGCGCAACCCUUAUCCUUUGUUGCCAGCGGUCCGGCCGGGAACUCAAAGGAGACUGCCAGUGAUAAACUGGAGGAAGGUGGGGAUGACGUCAAGUCAUCAUGGCCCUUACGACCAGGGCUACACACGUGCUACAAUGGGGCAUACGAGAAGCGACCUCGCGAGAGCAAGCGGACCUCAUAAAGUGCGUCGUAGUCCGGAUUGGAGUCUGCAACUCGACUCCAUGAAGUCGGAAUCGCUAGUAAUCGUGGAUCAGAAUGCCACGGUGAAUACGUUCCCGCGCCUUGUACACACCGCCCGUCACACCAUGGGAGUGUGCAAAAGAAGUAGGUAGCUUAACCGUACGGGG
rnacentral:rRNA from 1 species